AUGAACGCUGGCGGCGUGCCUAAUACCUGCAAGUCGAGCGAACGGACGAGAAGCUUGCUUCUCUGAUGUUAGCGGCGGACGGGUGAGUAACACGUGGAUAACCUACCUAUAAGACUGGGAUAACUUCGGGAAACCGUAGCUAAUACCGGAUAAUAUUUUGAACCGCAUGGUUCAAAAGUGAAAGACGGUCUUGCUGUCACUUAUAGAUGGAUCCGCGCUGCAUUAGCUAGUUGGUAAGGUAACGGCUUACCAAGGCAACGAUGCAUAGCCGACCUGAGAGGGUGAUCGGCCACACUGGAACUGAGACACGGUCCAGACUCCUACGGGAGGCAGCAGUAGGGAAUCUUCCGCAAUGGGCGAAAGCCUGACGGAGCAACGCCGCGUGAGUGAUGAAGGUCUUCGGAUCGUAAAACUCUGUUAUUAGGGAAGAACAUAUGUGUAAGUAACUGUGCACAUCUUGACGGUACCCAAUCAGAAAGCCACGGCUAACUACGUG
rnacentral:rRNA from 1 species